GUGAAAGUUCAUUUAUUUAAAAAUAAAUCUGUAUUAAGUGUAAAUGUAAAAAAAACAAAAAAAACAAUGACUGUGAAUGUGCCAUUUGUUUUCCCCCCACAAAAUUACAUUUGAGACGAUCCACACAGUACCAAGAAAUGGCUUGGAUCCUACUAAUACUGUCCAUUAGGUGGCGUGUCAUACUGCCAUUUACCUUGUACAGUAGCCUACUGGUAGAUACCGCAGGAUCUCUUCACUGCAUUAUCUUGGCAUCUACAUCAUGUUUUCCAAGGACAGAAAUGACUGAGACAUUAACAAAACAGCUACAGUCGACCUCUGUGGAAAAGUAAUAAACAGUCCACAUUUGCAAGACACUUAAUUGUGUUGAGAAAGUACGGGAUGGACGGUCAUAGGUCUCAAACAAAUCUUUCUGUGAGUGAUUUCUCUUAGAGGGGGGCAUCUUCACUGUAAUGACUUAUACUACAUCUUUAAAUAAAAAUGUCUGUCAAAUUACAUUUUAACCAGCCACCUCUCAGAUCUACAGCCAGCAUCGGCUUAGCCUAAUUAGCUGGCUAAUAUAUUAAAAGUCAUCAACGCUCAAUUUGAUAAUUAUACACCGAUCAUAUCCUCAAUAACCUAAGCAAAUGCUUUUUCAUAUUGUGACUGAUGUAUUUUCAGCUCUUGUUAGAAAUGAUUGCCCUACUGCUAAUCUGCGGACAGUAACCCUUUCUGGUUUUCGCCGUGUUCUCAUUUGGACGUAGCUUCAUUUAAAGCCGCACUUUUGUCAGUAUUAAUCUAAACGCUGUAUUCUCAACGACGGAAAUGGUUUUGUGAAAACACAUGCAAACUUUAUGUGCCAGACUAAGUAUGAACGGAUAGCAAAACAACUACAAUUUAUCUGGCCUUUAUCUCUGAUAAUAUACGCUGCAGUUCAUGCUGGCUUUUUCUAACGGCCCAUCCUCUGGCAGCUCGCGGUGUUUCAUUUCAGAUGGAGGCAGUCGACAUGCCGGUCCUUGCCACAUCUGGGUUGCUCUAACACGCUCAGCUGAGCUGUGGCACCUCUUAAGUGGUCGCUUUGGGAUGGGGGUACUGCAGGUCGGCUUUCAAAGACAAACUUGCCACUCCUCAGAUCCCUCCCGCCAGGAGUGUGUUCCCCCGAUUCCCGCAGUACAUUGUUUGAGACGGAAAACAUGGAGGCGUGUGAAGAGGAGCGCCGUCCUGGUUCAACCAGAGGCGUCCCGGCGGGGAAGGGGUUAAUAACAGAGAGCUGGAGAUGUUUGCGGCAUGUUAAACCAGUUGGCAUCAAGACACACCGAUGAAUGUGUGAUUGGGAGCAGACCACCAGUCUUGGCUUGGCAACGUGCCGCCUUCCGCUUCACGUCCUUAUUUUGAAGCCAUUGCUCACAGUUUUGAUUGCGAUCAUCCGUCGGUCACCGAACGCAAUCACAGUUUGAAGCACACUUUGACGGCUUAAUAGCCCUGCGUUAUAAUAACGUCGGACCCAUAAGCACCUUCAGGUUGACGCGUAAAAAUAAAAAACACGUUUGGCACGAACGUUAAUGGAGUCUUACGGGGGAAAACUCAGACUCGUAAAUGUCACCAUUGGCGGGACUACGGCAGGAAGGAAUGGACAAUCAGAGCGCCCAGGGAACCCACAGGGAUGCAUAACACUGCAGGGACUCCGGGAGCGCCCCGUCUAAGUGGUGGCCCGGGGUCUCCUGCGGCAUUAUGGGUAAUGAUCUGCAUUAUGAAGCAUCAGAGCACUUUGCGAUGGGCCCCAGGAGGUUGGGUCUUCUCUCUGGCGCUGUCAAAUCAACACACAACGCCAUCCAGAAGAGAGGGGGCCACUAACCCAAGCUUUCCAUUUGCAACAGUUACUGUAUACCUAGGGCCUGAGCCCCAGUGUCAUCUUCACCAAAACAGUACAAAGUGCUUUAAAGGGAG
rnacentral:lncRNA from 1 species